rnacentral:rRNA from 1 species
CGCCUGGGGAGUGCGGCCGCAAGGUUAAAACUCAAAUGAAUUGACGGGGGCCCGCACAAGCGGUGGAGCAUGUGGUUUAAUUCGACGCAGCGCGAAGAACCUUACCUGGCCUUGACAUCCAGAGAGCUUUCCAGAGAUGGAUUGGUGCCUUCGGGAACUCUGAGACAGGUGCUGCAUGGCCGUCGUCAGCUCGUGUCGUGAGAUGUUGGGUUAAGUCCCGUAACGAGCGCAACCCCUAUCCCUGGUUGCUAGCAGGUAUGCUGAGAACUCCAGGGAGACUGCCGGUGACAAACCGGAGGAAGGUGGGGAUGACGUCAGGUCAUCAUGGCCCUUACGGCCAGGGCUACACACGUGCUACAAUGGCGCGUACAGAGGGCUGCCAACUCGCGAGAGUGAGCCAAUCCCUUAAAACGCGUCGUAGUCCGGAUCGGAGUCUGCAACUCGACUCCGUGAAGUCGGAAUCGCUAGUAAUCGCGAAUCAGAAUGUCGCGGUGAAUACGUUCCCGGGCCUUGUACACACCGCCCGUCACACCAUGGGAGUGGAUUGCACCAGAAGUAGUUAGUCUAACCUUCGGGAGGACGAUUACCACGGUGUGGUUCAUGACUGGGGUGAAGUCGUAACAAGGUAACCGUA